rnacentral:rRNA from 1 species
GAAAUGCUUAGAUAUCACGANGAACUCCGAUUGCGAAGGCAGCUUGCUGGACUGUAACUGACGCUGAGGCACGAAAGCGUGGGGAUCAAACAGGAUUAGAUACCCUGGUAGNCCACGCCGUAAACGAUGAAUGCUAGCUGUUAGCGAUAUACUGUUAGCGGCACAGAGAAAUCGUUAAGCAUUCCACCUGGGGAGUACGCCGGCAACGGUGAAACUCAAAGGAAUUGACGGGGGCCCGCACAAGCGGAGGAACAUGUGGUUUAAUUCGAUGAUACGCGAGGAACCUUACCUGGGCUUAAAUUGCAGUGGAAUAACGUGGAAACAUGUUAGCCUUCGGGCCGCUGUGAAGGUGCUGCAUGGUUGUCGUCAGCUCGUGCCGUGAGGUGUCGGCUUAAGUGCCAUAACGAGCGCAACCCUCAUCGAUAGUUACUAACAGGUUAAGCUGAGGACUCUAUCGAGACUGCCGACGUAAGUCGUGAGGAAGGUGGGGAUGACGUCAAAUCAGCACGGCCCUUACGUCCAGGGCUACACACGUGUUACAAUGGGGGGUACAAAGGGCAGCUACCUGGCGACAGGAUGCUAAUCUCAAAAACCUCUCUCAGUUCGGAUUGGAGUCUGCAACCCGACUCCAUGAAGCUGGAUUCGCUAGUAAUCGCGCAUCAGCCACGGCGCGGUGAAUACGUUCCCGGGCCUUGUACACACCGCCCGUCAAGCCAUGGGAGCCGGGGGGACCUGAAGUAUGCAACCGUAAGGAGCGUCCUAGGGUAAAACUGGUGACUGGGGCU